GGAGAGAUGGCUGAGUGGCUGAAAGCACCUUCCUGCUAAGAAGACAUACGGGCUUAAACUCGUAUCGUGGGUUCAAAUCCCACUCUCUCCG
rnacentral:tRNA from 1 species